UGGGGGAAUAUUGCACAAUGGGCGAAAGCCUGAUGCAGCGACGCCGCGUGAGGGAUGACGGCCUUCGGGUUGUAAACCUCUUUCAGCAGGGAAGAAGCGAAAGUGACGGUACCUGCAGAAGAAGCGCCGGCUAACUACGUGCCAGCAGCCGCGGUAAUACGUAGGGCGCAAGCGUUGUCCGGAAUUAUUGGGCGUAAAGAGCUCGUAGGCGGUUAGUCGCGUCUGCUGUGAAAAACUCGAGGCUCAACCUCGGGCUUGCAGUGGGUACGGGCUGACUAGAGUGCGGUAGGGGGUGACUGGAAUUCCUGGUGUAGCGGUGGAAUGCGCAGAUAUCAGGAGGAACACCGAUGGCGAAGGCAGGUCACUGGGCCGCAACUGACGCUGAGGAGCG
rnacentral:rRNA from 1 species